rnacentral:rRNA from 1 species
GACGAACGCUGGCGGCGUGCUUAACACAUGCAAGUCGAACGGAAAGGCCCUGCUUUUGUGGGGUGCUCGAGUGGCGAACGGGUGAGUAACACGUGAGUAACCUGCCCUUGACUUUGGGAUAACUUCAGGAAACUGGGGCUAAUACCGGAUAGGAGCUCCUGCUGCAUGGUGGGGGUUGGAAAGUUUCGGCGGUUGGGGAUGGACUCGCGGCUUAUCAGCUUGUUGGUGGGGUAGUGGCUUACCAAGGCUUUGACGGGUAGCCGGCCUGAGAGGGUGACCGGCCACAUUGGGACUGAGAUACGGCCCAGACUCCUACGGGAGGCAGCAGUGGGGAAUAUUGCACAAUGGGCGGAAGCCUGAUGCAGCAACGCCGCGUGCGGGGGGACGGCCUUCGGGUUGUAAACCGCUUUCGCCUGUGACGAAGCGUGAGUGACGGUAAUGGGUAAAGAAGCACCGGCUAACUACGUGC